UUGGCAGGCACGUCGAGAGGGGGCAUGGCUGCACAGUGGGAGAGAUUCCAUUCAGUCACGAAUGUCCACCGCUUUUUAUCUCAACAGCCUAACCUGAAAAACAAAGUCAAAAUCAUAUUGGAAUGGUUCCUUCCCUCCAUUUGCAAACAGGCCUCUCAGGCGUUGGAAAAAGCCACUUAGCAGCCUACCACAGCAGCAACACCAAGAUUUCUUUAGCUUUGUGGACUGAAAACAGAUAUAGACAACGAGACAGUUCAUAGAAGGACUAAGCUUGUGAUGUCUUUCAAGACAAAUGUGGAAAACGUCCAAGUGCUUAGAACAUGUUCUCCCUGUCCAGAAAUUCUCUGAGGAGUACACUUCCCCCCUCACCCCCGCUCCGACUGCUCUGUGCUGAGGCUGCCUUUCACCAUCUUGUUCUGCAAGGAGGGAAGAGAGCAAGGAAGGAGGGGCUGACGAACCAGCAAGCCAAACAGAGGAGGAAAAAGAAAAUGAGGGAGAAACGGAAGACAGGGGUAGGGAAAGGGAACAUACAGAAAGUGUGAGAGAGAGAGAAAGAGAAAGAGAAGUCAGUAUUGGAGUCAGAAAUAGAAUUUUCAGACAGAGUUUUCCCCAAGACAAAAGCAGCCACUACAAUGGAAGGAACAGAGUGAGCUAUAUUCUGCCCUGCAGAAGAAUUGGGAACAAACCAGUAAUGAUUAGUGAAGCACACAGUGAGGGCAGAGAAAGAAAGCAAAGAAAACUCACUUGGCUUCAAAGAAAUUAUUUGUGUCUUUACCAAGCAAAAGUCAACAAACUUCAGUGUCAAAUAAAGGCUGCUGGUGUUGAAUUUUUGUUUUUAAUGCAAUAAAGAAAGUGAUCUGCAGU